CUAACAUUGAGGGGCUUCCCAGCUCUAAUCCCUGCCUCUCCCCCCUCUCUUGAGACAGGGUUUCUCAAUGUAGCCCUGGCUAUACUGGAACUCACUCUGUAGACCAGGCUGGCCUUACACUCAGAGACCCACCUGCCCCUGCCUCCAGAGUGCUGGGAUUAAAGGCGUGCGCCGCUGCUGCCGCUGCCGCCACCACCCAGCCAAAUUCCCCAUCUCUAUAGGUAAUCUGUUGUUAGAGUUUGGGAAUGUCCCCAGGUGCCCCUGGGAGGUGGCAGAACAUUUAAGAGGUAGAGCCAGACGGGAGGAAGUGAGGUCAUUGAGGCAUACCAUGAAAGAGGAUAGCAGGCCCUGUCCCCUCCCUGCCCCCUUCUCUCUGCUUCUUGACUGGCAAGGGGCAAGCAGCCCCCCUCUGUCCUACCUCCCCCACUGUGAUGUGUCGCCUUGUCACAAGGCUGAAGGUAAUAGGGCCAAACAACAUGGACUGGGACUUCUGCAACCAUGAGCAAAAAUGACAUACGUCAUCUGUCAUGCUGAGGAUGGAGCCCUGGUCCUGAUGCUGUGCCUUUGAGUUACAUUCACAGCCUCAGUUUUUUUUGGUAGUGUCUCCCUAUGCAUCCUUGGCUAUUCUGGCCAGGACCUUGCUAUGCCGAGAUCCACCUGCCCCUGCCUCCUGAGUGCUAUACCUGGUUCCUUCUUUUUAAGUUGACUGUCUCAAGCAUUUUGCCACAGCAACGGAAAGCUGAUUGAGACAGCUGUUCUCCACAGAGCUAGGCAACAGCCAGGCUGGGCUUCGAAUCCAGGCAGGUAGUUCUCAGAGUGUAGCCUCUCCCCUGCAAUGCUGGACCACCUUCUGAAAACAAGGCCACCUCUCUGUUCCCAGGCCACACUUUAAUGGGUCCACGCCUGGAAGAGGUCUUCGUGCACUUACGCAGGGACUUGUUGAUGGCUCAGUCACCACUGAGCACUAACUGUGGCAUCAGAGUUAGAGAAGGGACAAAAUUACCUCUGUCCAUCGGGAGUGCACAAUCAAAGAUAGAGUCUCCUGAUGUUGACCUAUGAACUCUUGGAGCUCAAACCAUCCUUCCACUUGAACUUGGGAGUUGCUGGGCUCACUGGGGCAUGCCAUAAUGCCCAGCUGUUACUAAUCCAUCACCACUUUACAAGUGAGGAGCAAACCCAAGAUCACACGGCCUAAAAGUGGCGGAAUGGAGUGGGCUGAUGCCCUAUAGAUGUAAGAAUUUCACUGAUGCAAAACUCAGUUGCCAUUUUCACCAAAUUGCUAUGAUAUUCCCAACUAGGAAACAAAAAAGAAUGACUAGACCUCAAAGAACUGCCAGAAAUGACCAUUCUUCCCGGGGAGAGAAUCCACAGCACAGUGGAGGAGCAACCGGCGGCCUCUGGGGUAAGGCAGAUCUGGGUUCAGACAUUUUCUGA